rnacentral:misc_RNA from 1 species
GGAAAUUAUUUGACUGGUUCAUAUAAGUGCUGGCAGGGAUGUUGAAAGCAUAAUCGAACAAGGCCUGAAUUUCAGGGCAAUAUGGGCAACUGUCUGACUGUCCUUUGGAUGAUGACAGACACACACCUUGGCUCUAUGCCUACUUCUGCUAAGCUGGGUCAUUCUACAUUUGGUGACCUUUGUUUUCAGGAUAAUUUUUUUAUUCGCCUGUUGAGGCAAGCGGUGCCAUUCUUGGUCUAUGCUGAAAUUAGUGGCACCAGGGGUUUUUAGGCACCAUGUGCCUCAUAUUGUGAAGGAAAAUUUUAUAGAUGCCUGUCUAUGCCUUGAGGGCGAUUUAGGAUAGUUAACAUUCUCCUUUUGUUCUUAGCUUUGUGUAGGUUUGAGAAUCUUCGUUGGUGGACCUCAAGUUUCCGUCAAUAUUGGAAGUAUUAAUAGAACUUCUGCUGCAGCCUGAAUCAGUUAAUAAUUGGAUUUGAUUAGGGAAAGCAUGCUUUAGAAAGAUUGGUCCUGAGUUUGAGGCUUGGGAGGUGUUGGAAGAGUCAACUGACUGACACAGGUCCCUGGCCCUACUUGUUGAGUCGGUUUCACUGUCAAUCUGUCUAUUGACAUAAAAGGAGAAACCACUUGAUUCAUCCUUGCUUCAAAUGCAUACAAAGAAGCCCAAUUUCUAAGGUCUUGGAACUCUUGGGCACAGAAUUAAAAAAGCAUACUGUGGAAGCUAUAAUUUGGCCUUACUGCCAUAGAUGCUUUGGAAGCCCAAAGUCUUGCAGAGCAAUAAAAAGUUUAAACAUCAACUCUCACAUUGACUAAUUAUAGCUUUCAUGUUCAACAACUCUGUGUGCUUCUAGACUAAUUAUGAUCUUUAGGUUAGUUCCCCUUUAGUUGGGAUUGCUCUUAAAAAGGGCUCUGAUGUUGUUGGACUACCCUAUUUUUAAGGAAAUAUAACUAUUGAUACAAGUUUGAUAUUCAGGGUGGCCCAAAUUAAAGAUCAAAAGAGGAACAAAGGUAGAAACAGGGAAAAACUUUGGAGGAGCCCUCUAUAAGUUGCUCACAAACUUAUAGAAAGGAAAAUGGAAAAAGCAGAAAUCUUGGACAUCAUGACUAACUGUAUAUUUAGGUACCUUGUUGGGAUGAAUUAAAUUCGAAACUGAUAUGCUUUUAAGAAUGUUCAUGUUGUUAUCCAAUGCUUGUUUGACACAUCUCUUUCUUUUGUAUGUUUCCAAUCUCUGAAAUUCAUUGUAAUUUGUCUGCUCAAUUUUUUUCUUGUUCAGUUUUUAGGGUCUCAAAAAUUGAUCUUCUACAUAUCUUUAAUUGUGAUGUGUUCUUUACAUCCAUAAACUGUGUAUACUUUAGCCAUAGAAUCCUUUUGAGUUGGUAGUAAGGUUUUAAUUCACGGCUAAGAUCAGUUAUCAUGAAUAAGAAAACUUGUGCUGUUACUUAUUGCUCAGUUUGGCUAAGAAUUCCCAAGGAGGCUGUUUGAAUCAGAUUCAUUUUAGAGAGGCUGUUAUAGAAGUAGAUAUGUUUGGGAGUUCAGUCUGUGUUGUUUGAAGGCCUAAGAUCCAGAAAUGGUGAAUGCAUUGUGUUUGUUGGUGCUCUGGGAUUUAGGCUUAGGACAAGUGUGUUAAUGUUUUUGGGUUGGGCAAAUUAGACUAGUGUAUUAUAAACUGGAGCAGAAUGUUAAUGGUUUUGGGUUUGGCAAAUUGGUCCUACAACAUUGUCUUUUUGUUAAGUUGGUAGAUGAUGUGUGUUUUGUCAUGUGUGUAAUCUUUUAUUUUUGUUUCUCAUCUCUUUUUGUAUACACCCAUUCUAUAGGAGGUGAUUCUCUCUAGGUCUCUCUAGCAACUUUCGCUGGCUAGUGUGGGUAAUUUGAAGCAAAAAAUUGUGGAGUGGAACAAUGUGGCUUGUACCUGAUCUUAGAUUUUAGGACAAUAUAUAUUUGAGUUGGAAAUGGCAUUUUUGCAAUGUUAAUUUAAUUUAAUUUUGUUAUUUAAUAUAGAACCAUGAUUACCACUAAAAUGAUUUAGCACUGAUAAUCUUGAUUUUACAGGUGUGCAUUGCCGUUUAGAAAGG